rnacentral:rRNA from 1 species
GACGAACGCUGGCGGCGUGGAUUAGGCAUGCAAGUCGAACGGUAUCAUCCUUUCGGGGGUGAGAGAGUGGCGAACUGGUGAGUAACACGUAGGUUAUCUACCCUCAAGACGGGGACAACCCAGGGAAACUUGGGCUAAUACCGGAUGUGAGCAACUUUUAGUUGUUUGAAAGGUGGCGUAAGCUGUCGCUUGGGGAUGAGCCUGCGUCCUAUUAGUUAGUUGGUGAGGUAACGGCUCACCUAGGCAAUGAUAGGUAGGCGGCCUUAACGGGUGGUCGCCCACACUGGGAUUGAGAUACGGCCCAGACUCCUACGGGAGGCAGCAGUCGAGAAUAGUCUACAAUGGUCGGAAGACUGAUAGUGCGACGCCGCGUGAACGAUGAAUCCCUUCGGGGUGUAAAGUUCUUUUAUAUGUGAGCAGUGCUUCUUAUAUUAACAGUAUGGGGAAGAGAUAUUAGCAUAUGAAUAAGCAACGGCUAACUCCGUGCCAGCAAGCCGCGGUAAAU